UACGAAGGGAGCUAGCGUUGUUCGGAAUCACUGGGCGUAAAGCGCACGUAGGCGGCUGUGUCAGUCAGGGGUGAAAUCCCGGAGCUCAACUUCGGAACUGCCUUUGAUACAGCACGUCUUGAGUCCGAUAGAGGUGGGUGGAAUUCCUGGUGUAGAGGUGAAAUUCGUAGAUAUUAGGAAGAACACCGGUGGCGAAGGCGGCCCACUGGAUCGGUACUGACGCUGAGGUGCGAAAGCGUGGGGAGCAAACAGG
rnacentral:rRNA from 1 species